CAUGCAAGUUGAACGGUAACAUGUUGUAGCAAUACGAUGAUGACGAGUGGCGCACGGGUGCGUAACACGUGUGUAACCUACCUUAUACAGGAACAUAACGUUGAGAAAUCGGCGCUAACAUUCCAUAAUAUUAUUUGUAGGCAUCUAUGAAUAAUUAAAACUCCGGUGGUAUAAGAUGGGCACGCGUUCCAUUAGCUAGUUGGUAAGGUAACGGCUUACCAAGGCAACGAUGGAUAGGGGUUCUGAGAGGAUAAUCCCCCACACUGGAACUGAGACACGGUCCAGACUCCUACGGGAGGCAGCAGUAAGGAAUAUUGGGCAAUGGAGGCAACUCUGACCCAGCCAUGCCGCGUGCAGGAAGACGCCCUAUGGGUUGUAAACUGCUUUUAAUAGGGAUUAAAGUCGACUACGUGUAGUUGUUUGCAAGUACCUAUAGAAUAAGCAUCGGCUAACUCCGUGCCAGCAGCCGCGGUAAUACGGAGGAUGCAAGCGUUAUCCGGAUUUAUUGGGUUUAAAGGGUGCGCAGGCGGACUAAUAAGUCAGUGGUGAAAUUUACAUGCUUAACAUGUGACGUGCCAUUGAUACUGUUAGACUAGUAUACAAAUGACGUAGCUGGAAUGUGUUAUGUAGCGGUGAAAUGCAUAGAUAUAACACAGAACACCGAUCGUGAAGACAGGUUACGAAUUUGUGAUAGACGCUCAUGCACGAAAGCGUGGGGAUCAAACAGGAUUAGAUACCCUGGUAGUCCACGCUGUAACGAUGAUACUUGUUGUUGGGCACAUAGUGCUCAGUGGCUAAGCGAAAGCGAUAAGUUAUCCACCUGGGGAGUACGAUCGCAAGGUUGAAACUCAAAGGAAUUGACGGGGGCCCGCACAAGCGGAGGAGCAUGUGGUUUAAUUCGAAGCAACGCGAAGAACCUUACCAGGGCUUGACAUCCCCUGACCGCCAUGGAAACAUGGCUUCCCUUCGGGGCAGGGAGACAGGUGGUGCAUGGUUGUCGUCAGCUCGUGUCGUGAGAUGUUGGGUUAAGUCCCGCAACGAGCGCAACCCCUAUCUUUAGUUGCCAUCAUUAAGUUGGGCACUCUAAAGAGACUGCCGGCAAGAAGUCGGAGGAAGGUGGGGAUGACGUCAAAUCAUCAUGCCCCUUAUGUUCUGGGCUACACACGUGCUACAAUGGCCUGUACAGAGGGCAGCGAAGGAGCGAUCUGGAGCGAAUCUCAUAAAACAGGUCUCAGUUCGGAUUGCAGGCUGCAACUCGCCUGCAUGAAGUCGGAAUCGCUGUAAUCGCAGGUCAG
rnacentral:rRNA from 1 species